UACGUAGGCAGCGAGCGUUGUUCGGAGUUACUGGGCGUAAAGGGCGCGUAGGCGGUUUGCUAAGUUGGAUGUGAAAACUCUGGGCUUAACCCAGAGCCUGCAUCCAAAACUAGCAGGCUAGAGUUCUGGAGGGGAUAGCGGAAUUCCUGGUGUAGCGGUGAAAUGCGUAGAUAUCAGGAGGAACACCGGUGGCGAAGGCGGCUAUCUGGACAGAAACUGACGCUGAGGCGCGAAAGCUAGGGGAGCAAACAGG
rnacentral:rRNA from 1 species